rnacentral:lncRNA from 7 species
CAGCUGUGGUACAGAGAAAGAAGGGAGAGAGUUCUGUACAGGAGCAGAUCACAGUGUGAAGCAUUUGGUGUGACCUCCAAGAGCUGCGGUUCUGUUCUUGUGGUCUCGGAAGUGGUCCUCGGAGCCUAGCAUUAUGGACAGGGUUUCUCUGUUUAACAGCCGUGGUUGUCCUGGAACUCACACUUUAUAGACCAGCCUGAUCUUGAACACUCAGAGACCCACCAGCAUCUGAUUCCUGAUGGGAUUAAAGGCUUUUGUUUUGUAGCCCCUGAUCUCCAUAUGGGAUUCUCUUGGAAUCUUGGAGCUGUUUGGCCUGUUGAGUCAGAGAGAAGAAAUACUCUGGAAUUUACUUGUCUGUUGAAGGAGCAAGUCUACAGGCAGUGAA